CGGACUGUAGGCUGCAACUCGCCUACACGAAGUCGGAAUCGCUAGUAAUCNCGGAUCAGCAUGCCGCGGUGAAUACGUUCCCGGGCCUUGUACACACCGCCCGUCACACCAUGGGAGUUUGUAACGCCCAAAGUCGGUGGCCUAACCUUUAUGGAGGGAGCCGCCUAAGGCGGGACAGAUGACUGGGGUGAAGUCGUAACAAGGUAGC
rnacentral:rRNA from 1 species